AACGAACGCUGGCGGCAGGCUUUAGACAUGCAAGUCGAGCGAGAAGCUAUCUUCGGAUAGUGGACAGCGGCGGACGGGUGAGUAAUGCAUGGGAAUAUGCCUUUUGGUACGGAAUAGCCCUUGGAAACGAGGAAUAAUACCGUAUGUGCCCUACGGGGGAAAGAUUUAUCGCCAAAAGAUUAGCCCAUGUUGGAUUAGCUUGUUGGUGGGGUAAUGGCCCACCAAGGCGACGAUCCAUAGCUGGUUUGAGAGGAUGAUCAGCCACACUGGGACUGAGACACGGCCCAGACUCCUACGGGAGGCAGCAGUCGGGAAUAUUAGACAAUGGGCGCAAGCCUGAUCUAGCCAUGCCGCGUGAGUGAAGAAGGCCCUAGGGUUGUAAAGCUCUUUCAGAUGUGAGGAUGAUGACAGUAACAUCAGAAGAAGCCCCGGCUAACUUCG
rnacentral:rRNA from 1 species